GAUGAACGCUGGCGGCGUGCCUAAUACAUGCAAGUCGAGCGAACAGAUGAGGAGCUUGCUCCUCUGACGUUAGCGGCGGACGGGUGAGUAACACGUGGAUAACCUACCUAUAAGACUGGGAUAACUUCGGGAAACCGGAGCUAAUACCGGAUAAUAUAUUGAACCGCAUGGUUCCAUAGUGAAAGACGGUUUUGCUGUCACUUAUAGAUGGAUCCGCGCCGCAUUAUCUAGUUGGUAAGGUAACGGCUUACCAAGGCAACGAUGCGUAGCCGACCUGAGAGGGUGACCGGCCACACUGGAACUGAGACACGGUCCAGACUCCUACGGGAGGCAGCAGUAGGGAAUCUUCCGCAAUGGGCGAAAGCCUGACGGAGCAACGCCGCGUGAGUGAUGAAGGUCUUCGGAUCGUAAAACUCUGUUAUUAGGGAAGAACAAAUGUGUAAGUAACUAUGCACGUCUUGACGGUACCUAAUCAGAAAGCCACGGCUAACUACGUG
rnacentral:rRNA from 1 species